GUACUUCCGAUUGAUAUUGUUUACUCUGGUAACAAAGCUGUCUUUAACAAAAUAUGCAUUUUGUGGCACGAAAGGUCGCAAUUCAGAUAAUGGAAAAAAGGGGUGUAUAUCUACUUUGGAUGAUGUUAAAGUUCACCCUUUCCCAACCCUGGAAAAAAUGUUCACGCAGAGGAAACGAUGGCGUCAUUUGUUUAGAAAACCACGAGCAGCAGAACAGUGCAGAAAAUUAGAGCGAUUAUUACAUUCCGUAAAAGCUGAACCAACACAGAAGCAUCCCUGUUCUAGCCAUUUCACCAUAUGAAAGGCGAAGAUAACAAACAGUGAUCCAAGUUUUAAGAAAGCCAAGAGGUUGAUAACAAUGACUGUACUCCUUAUGUUGACUGGAAUUAUUGACUGGUAUGCAGUAAAACAGCUGAGGGAAAGUUCAACUAUUAAUUCAUUUCAGCCGGGUAAGAAUCAAUAUCCUUUUGUGUAUUAUACAUCUGCAAUUCUUUUCUUUUGCUGCUUCAAAUCUAGUGUAUUUGAAAUUUUAAUUCUGAUAUUUUGGUAUUAUUAUAGGUAGUCUGGCUGUAUUAUAGGUAAUCUGGCAGUAAUGGCAUGACAUCCUGAGAGCUAACCAACAUGGUUAAUGAUGUAUAGAGACACUGUCUGAAGACCUCGAGGGAAAGGCAAGGAAAAUGGAUGAUCCACUUCCUAUAUCCCUGUAAAAAAGAGGAAGGAUACCACAAUAUUGACGAUAAAUUAUUGUCAAUUCAAGAAGCAAAGUUGUGAAAAUGCAAAAACAAUAUUUAAUGUAUUUGUUAGAAAAAUAUCAUUAACUGCAUAUAUAUUUCUUGACCUUAUUCAGGAAUACAUCAGAUGUAGUCAUUCAUAUUAAAACUGAAUCUAUGAAUUUUCAUAACUUUUAUCAAUAAAGUUUACUAUAUUUAUUUUACACGUAUCUAAUUUCCCUAAUACAUUGUACUCAUGGGAGUUUGCUUGCAUUCAAUGUUCUGACAUGAAUCCGAAAAUGUGCAUAUUUCAUCACAAGAGCCCUCCUGGGCACUAAGCAUGUGUCAUGUAUAAAGCAGACUCAAACAAGAUCUACCAACAUAAUAUUUGAAUGAACACAAAUGGUCUUAGAUACUCUUUCUUUUCCUCUGCAAUAU